CCUACGGGAGGCAGCAGUGAGGAAUAUUGGUCAAUGGACGAGAGUCUGAACCAGCCAAGUAGCGUGAAGGAUGACUGCCCUCUGGGUUGUCAACUUCUUUUAUAAAGGAAUAAAACGAGGCACGUGUGCCUUUUUGCAUGUACUUUAUGAUUAAGGAGCGGCGAAAUCCGUGCAAGCAGCCGCGGUAAUACGUAUGAGCCGAGCGUUAUCAGGAUUUAUUGGGUUUAAAGAGAGCGUAGAUGGGUUGUUAAGUCAGUUGUGAAAGUUUGCGGCUCAACCGUAAAAUUGCAAUUGAUACUGGCAGUCUUGAGUACAGUUGAGGUAGGCGGAAUUCGUGGUGUAGCGGUGAAAUGCUUAGAUAUCACGAAGAACCCCGAUUGCGAAGGCAGCUUACUAAACUGUGACUGACAUUGAUGCUCGAAAGUGUGGGUAUCAAACAGGAUUAGAUACCCUGGUAGUC
rnacentral:rRNA from 1 species